CACAUUGGUUAGAUGAGGGAAGAGAAGAGGUGCCUUCAUGUAUAAAAAGGAGGGGGUGUGUGCAUUAGGAAGCAUGAGAGGCUAAGAUGCAAUUUAGAGAAAAUUGCAACUUUGGGCCCAAAGGUUUGAAUAAUUAAAUUCAAACCUAUAGUUUUUUUUAAUAUAAUUUUGGGACUCACAAUCCCAUUUUUAUAUUAUUUUUCUCUCUUCCUCUCACGUUGCUCGGCGUUUUCUCGCAAGGGGGGAUUAUUUUCUUUUUUCUUCAGAUUAUAUUGACAAAGAUAGUGGUGAAAAAGGAGUUGUGAAGGGGAACUUGUUAUUCAAGACACAAGGAGCGAAUCCGGCCGAGAAAGCACCAGAGGUGUAAUUAUGGUGUAUGAGACACCAUCUUUUACGUUGCCUCUUAUUUUGGAUUAUACAAUGUAUCUUGUGCCAACUUAGGACAUAUCUUGUCUAUGGA